UACGAAGGGGGCUAGCGUUGUUCGGAAUUACUGGGCGUAAAGCGCACGUAGGCGGAUACUUAAGUCAGGGGUGAAAUCCCGGGGCUCAACCCCGGAACUGCCUUUGAUACUGGGUAUCUCGAGUCCGGAAGAGGUGAGUGGAAUUCCGAGUGUAGAGGUGAAAUUCGUAGAUAUUCGGAGGAACACCAGUGGCGAAGGCGGCUCACUGGUCCGGAACUGACGCUGAGGUGCGAAAGCGUGGGGAGCAAACAGG
rnacentral:rRNA from 1 species